GAAAUAUAGUAUCACUGAAGUUGCUGCUACAAAAUGUUGGAGAAUACAGAACACAGUCCCAGCAACUUAGUCAUGAAACCAAAAAAAACAAAACCUUAAUAACACAUACACUAAUCCUAAAUGACAAGACAAAAUAUAUGUUGUAAAUUGAGAACAUAACAUAGGAAAAAGAUGCUACCGGAGAGAUUCAAUACUUUUAUGUUCAAAAUUAAUCGACCUCCUCCAUCUUGCUACCCUCUGCAUCAGCAUCGGCAUCCUCAAGGGGAGGCAUUUCAGAAUCGCCCUCUCCAGCUUCCUCAUCAAUGCUUAACCCGAGCUUCAACAUCCUGUGAAUUCUGUUUCCAAAGGUAUUCGGGUCGUCAAGGCUGAACCCGGAAGUUAGAAGGGAAGUCUCAAAGAGAAGGAGAACAAGGUCUUUAACGGAUUUGUCGUUCUUGUCCACCUCGGCCCUCUUCCUGAGCUCUUCCAUGAUGGGGUUCUCAGGGUUGAUUUCCAUCGUCUUCUUGCUAGACAUGUAACCAGCCAUGCUAUUGUCCUUCAAUGCUUGAGCUUUCAUGAUUCGUUCCAUGUUGGCUGUCCACCCAUAUUCACCAGUUACCAAACAGCAGGGAGAAUCCACAACACGGUCAGAAACAACAACCUUCUCAACUUUGUCGCCCAAAACAUCCUUUAUCACCUUGCAUAGCCCCUCGAACUUCUCCUUCAAAGCUUCCUUCUUCUUCUUUUCAUCUUCACUCUCAUCAAGUUUCAGACCUUCCUUGGUUGCUGACACAAGCUUCUUGCCUUCAAAUUCCUUCAACUGACCAACUGCGUACUCAUCGAUUGCAUCAACCAUGAACAGAACUUCGUAACCCUUCUUCUUGAGCUUCUCAAGGAAAGGAGAAUUUUCAAC
rnacentral:misc_RNA from 1 species